AUUUAGGUUUCCUCCAAGAGUCAGUAAGCCCAUUCGCCCUAAUGGAUUCAGGAAGUGUGCGCCUGGCUCAAGAUGCAGGAAAUAUUGGCCCAAAAACACUGCAUGUUGACAACCCUGCAUCAUGUUGGCAGCUGAGAGGCAACAGCUGGAAAUUGAACUUCAGAAUUAAGAAAUCAUGCAAGGACACGAGGAGUAGAUGACCACCUGAAUUCACCGUGAAGCACUCAAAGGCCUACAUUGGACUGUGAGAUACUGAGGGCUACACCAGGUUACACCAGUUGUAUACAUCAAAUUGUGGCAAAGAUGGUCACAUUUCAUCGCCAGAUUUGGGUAAGCCUUUGGAACGGGACAGCCUUGUCAAACUGAUGUGACGUUUGCAAGCUUGUAAUGUAGACUUCAAAGGAUAACAACACACCAGUCGACACAGCACGGAGAGCAUAACUGAUUG